CCUACGGGGUGCAGCAGUGGGGAAUAUUGGUCAAUGGAGGCAACUCUGACCCAGCAACGCCGCGUGCAUGAUGAAGGUCUUCUGAUUUUAAAGUUCUGUUAUUAGGGAUGAACACAAUGACGGUACCCCAAUAGCAAACCUCGUCUAACUACGUGCCAGCAGCCGCGGUAAUACGGAGGUCGCAAGCGUUAUCCGGAAUGACUGGGCGUAAGGGGUUCGUAGGUGGUUUGGUAAGUUUGAGGUGAAAUUCCGGGGCUCAACCUGGGAGCUACCGCCAAUACUAUUGGACUAGAGUGUAGGAGGGGUAAGUGGAAUGUAUAGUGUAGCGGUGGAAUGCGUAGAGAUCAGGAGGAACAUCAGGGGCGAAGGCGGCUUACUGGACUAUAACUGACACUGAGGCACGAAAGCGUGGGGAGCAAACAGGAUUAGAUACCCUGGUAGUC
rnacentral:rRNA from 1 species